rnacentral:tRNA from 1 species
AGUAAAGUCAGCUAAAAAAGCUUUUGGGCCCAUACCCCAAAAAUGUUGGUUAGAGCCCUUCCUAUACUA